ensembl:snRNA U6 U6 spliceosomal RNA
GUGCUCACUUCAGCAGUGCAUAUACUAAAAUUAGACCAAUAAAGAGGAGAUUAGUUUGGUCCCUGAGUGAGGAUGACAUGCAAAUUUGUGAAGUGUUCCAUAUUUUU